GCUUAACACAUGCAAGUCGAACGAAGUAGCAAUACUUAGUGGCAGACGGGUGAGUAACAUGUGGGUAUCUGCCCUUUGGCCUGGAAUAACACGAGGAAACUUGUGCUAAUACUGGAUAAGUCUUUACGGAGAAAGCUUUAUGCACCAUUGGAUGAGCCCGCACUUGAUUAGUUUGUUGGUGGGGUAAUGGCCUACCAAGACUGUGAUCAAUAGCUGAUUUGAGAGGAUGAUCAGCCACAUUGGGACUGAGACACGGCCCAAACUCCUACGGGAGGCAGCAGUGGGGAAUCUUGCACAAUGGAGGAAACUCUGAUGCAGCGAUGCCGCGUGAGUGAAGAAGGCCUUUGGGUUGUAAAGCUCUUUCGUCGGGGAAGAAAAUGACUGUACCCGAAUAAGAAGGUCCGGCUAACUUCGUGCCAGCCGCCGCGGUAAUA
rnacentral:rRNA from 1 species